CGGAUUGAGCCUUGGUAUGGAAAAUCCGUCGACUUUAUAAAUCGUGAGGGUUCAAGUCCCUCUAUCCCC
rnacentral:tRNA from 1 species